UACGGAGGGUGCAAGCGUUAAUCGGAAUUACUGGGCGUAAAGCGCGCGUAGGCGGUUUUUUAAGUCGGAUGUGAAAGCCCCGGGCUCAACCUGGGAACUGCAUCCGAUACUGGAAGACUAGAAUGCGGGAGAGGGAGGUAGAAUUCCAUGUGUAGCAGUGAGAUGCGUAGAUAUAUGGAGGAAUACCAGUGGCGAAGGCGGCCUCCUGGCUCGACAUUGACGCUGAGGUGCGAAAGCGUGGGGAGCAAACGGG
rnacentral:rRNA from 1 species